GUGGGGAAUAUUGGACAAUGGGCGCAAGCCUGAUCCAGCAAUGCCGCGUGGGUGAAGAAGGCCUUCGGGUUGUAAAGCACUUUCAGCGGGGAGGAAGGCGAUAAGGUUAAUAACCUUGUCGAUCGACGUUACCCGCAGAAGAAGCACCGGCUAACUCCGUGCCAGCAGCCGCGGUAAUACGGAGGGUGCAAGCGUUAAUCGGAAUUACUGGGCGUAAAGCGCACGCAGGCGGUCUGUCAAGUCGGAUGUGAAAUCCCCGGGCUCAACCUGGGAACUGCAUUCGAAACUGGCAGGCUAGAGUCUUGUAGAGGGGGGUAGAAUUCCAGGUGUAGCGGUGAAAUGCGUAGAGAUCUGGAGGAAUACCGGUGGCGAAGGCGGCCCCCUGGACAAAGACUGACGCUCAGGUGCGAAAGCGUGGGGAGCAAACAGGAUUAGAUACCCGAGUAGUCC
rnacentral:rRNA from 1 species